UCAGUUGAAGACCUGUUGACUAGUGUUUGGAAUCGGAAACCAAAUCCACUAUCGAUUAUCCGGGAGGAUUGUGGUGAAUGAUUAACGAUUAUAAUCGAAAUAUAUACAUUUUAAUGUAAUCACCAAUUUUAGGGUUUUCCGGUAUUUUCUAAUUAAUG